CCACGCGAUGAUUUCCUAGUACUUCCACAUGUCCUUAUCAGUUUCUUCACCUCCCCCUUGAAUCGUUGGGCCUAUGGUGGGAGUUUCUCAUCAGCAGAGAGCCACACUUUUGCAGGUACAGGAUGGACAUGAGUCGGGAUAGAGACCUCCGCAUCUGAAUCCUCGUACUCUCUCAUGUCCCGCUGCGAUGAUCAUGCAAGCUCUGGAGAUGCCCAAAAGAAGCUGAUCCACAUUAGCCAGAUCAAUCAUGGGAGUGCAGAACAUGUUGAGUCUCUAAUUCGUGGACUUAAUUUGCUCGAGUUUGAGAAUUGGCAUCCGUGAUCGAAUUCAGGGGUUGUUUCUUCGGAAGUUUCUCUGGUAUUAUGUCACAUGCCAACCAUAUUUGUGAAAAUUCCCAUCCGCCGCUGCUCUAAGUUUGUAAGCGUCUUUCUCUCCUUCGAUUUAUUCAUUUUUCUGUUUUGUUUUAA